rnacentral:rRNA from 1 species
GACGAACGCUGGCGGCAUGCUUAACACAUGCAAGUCGAACGGAAAGGCCCUGCUUUUGUGGGGUGCUCGAGUGGCGAACGGGUGAGUAACACGUGAGUAACCUGCCCUUGACUUUGGGAUAACUUCAGGAAACUGGGGCUAAUACCGGAUAGGAGCUCCUGCUGCAUGGUGGGGGUUGGAAGGUUCGGCGGUUGGGGGUGGACCCGCGGCUUAUCAGCUUGUUGGUGGGGUAGUGGCUUACCAAGGCUUUGACGGGUAGCCGGCCUGAGAGGGUGACCGGCCACAUUGGGACUGAGAUACGGCCCAGACUCCUACGGGAGGCAGCAGUGGGGAAUAUUGCACAAUGGGCGGAAGCCUGAUGCAGCAACGCCGCGUGCGGGAUGACGGCCUUCGGGUUGUAAACCGCUUUCGCCUGUGACGAAGCGUGAGUGACGGUAAUGGGUAAAGAAGCACCGGCUAACUACGUG